rnacentral:rRNA from 1 species
UACGUAGGGUGCAAGCGUUAAUCGGAAUUACUGGGCGUAAAGCGUGCGCAGGCGGUGAUGUAAGACAGAUGUGAAAUCCCCGGGCUCAACCUGGGAACUGCAUUUGUGACUGCAUCGCUGGAGUGCGGCAGAGGGGGAUGGAAUUCCGCGUGUAGCAGUGAAAUGCGUAGAUAUGCGGAGGAACACCGAUGGCGAAGGCAAUCCCCUGGGCCUGCACUGACGCUCUUGCACGAAAGCGUGGGGAGCAAACAGG